CCCCAUCACGUUGAAAACAUCAGUCCCUGUACGAUCAUCGAAGUUAAGCAGCGUCGAACCCGGUCAGUACCUAGAUGAGUGACCUUUUGGGAAUACCCGGUGUUGUAAG